rnacentral:hammerhead_ribozyme from 1 species
GCACUGCUGAACGAGUCCCAAACAGGACGAAACAGCUGUCCAUUGC